rnacentral:lncRNA from 1 species
AAGCAGUGGAGGAGAUGAGAGUGUUUACUUAACAUGGUUUUAGUUGUGGUGUACUCCUACUUAAAUAUAGGUAGUGACAUAUGGAAUUUUUUAUUGUUCAAUAAUCUGAAAUAGAUUUCUGUGUUUAACUGUACUGAAAUAACUAUAAGUUAAUAGAAUAUUCAAAGAAAACUUUUUGACUCUAUUGUAUUUAGGAGUCUUUGUAUGGUUAGGUCAAGUUUCCAUGAUAGAAAGUAUUUGAAUUUUAAAACAUACUAUUAUUCUAAGGGAGAAGAUGUGGUUAUCCCAUGUGCAAGAAAGAAAAAAAAAAUGAAAUGAGUAAUUGUCAUUGCAUUAGCUGUUUGUUCAAUUGGGAAAUUGUGUCAUAAAGCUUAAAUUUGUGUGUAUCAAAUGUGAUCUACAGUAGUAUAAUGCUGUUUUGUAUAUACUGUAAGUGCUACAAAUAAUCUUAGUGCUGAAAAUGGAUUGAUAUCUCUCAAUUGAAUGUAACUUUUUAUGCAGGUGUUUUGAUAUGCCUCAGAAAAUAUCUGAGUGUCUGAAAACUUAUUAAUCUGUUUGGUGAUAAAGACACUCUUUGGGUUUUUUUUGGUUGCAUAAUUUAUGUUUAAAAUUUAAUUUUUACAUUUUUACUGUUGUUAAUUUAAGUAAAAUUUCUUCUGUGGAUAAAAUGGCAUUGCUGGUGAAGAAAAUUAAAAA